GCAGUCGUGGCCGAGUGGUUAAGGCGUUGGACUCGAAAUCCAAUGGGGUCUCCCCGCACAGGUUCGAAUCCUGUCGGCUGCG